UACAGAGGUGGCAAGCGUUGUUCGGAAUUACUGGGCGUAAAGGGCGCGUAGGCGGCCAUCUAAGUCAGACGUGAAAUCCCCCGGCUUAACCUGGGAACUGCGUCUGAUACUGGACGGCUUGAGUAUGGGAGAGGGAUGUAGAAUUCCUGGUGUAGCGGUGAAAUGCGCAGAUAUCAGGAGGAACACCGGUGGCGAAGGCGGUGGUCUGGGCCGGCACUGACGCUGAGGAGCGAAAGCGUGGGGAGCAAACAGG
rnacentral:rRNA from 1 species